CUAGGAUGAACGCUAGCUACAGGCUUAACACAUGCAAGUCGAGGGGCAGCAUGGGAUAGCUGCUAUUCAGAUGGCGACCGGCGCACGGGUGAGUAACGCGUAUCCAACCUCCUGCCAGUAGGGAACAGCCCGGCGAAAGUCGGAUUAAUGCCCUAUGUUCUUCAAUGCGGACAUCUAAGUUGAAGGAAAGAUUCAUCGCUGGCAGAUGGGGAUGCGUCCGAUUAGCUUGCCGGCGGGGUAACGGCCCACCGGGGCGACGAUCGGUAGGGGUUCUGAGAGGAAGGUCCCCCACACUGGUACUGAGACACGGACCAGACUCCUACGGGAGGCAGCAGUGAGGAAUAUUGGUCAAUGGGCGUAAGCCUGAACCAGCCAAGUAGCGUGCAGGGAAUGACGGCCCUACGGGUUGUAAACUGCUUUUAUGCGGGGAUAAAGUGCGGCACGUGUGCCGCUUUGCAGGUACCGCAUGAAUAAGGACCGGCUAAUUCCGUGCCAGCCGCAGC
rnacentral:rRNA from 1 species